GCAUUCGCACUGGCAACACAUAUACUAAAACCAGAAUGAUACAGAGAAGGUGGUAUGGCACCUGUGCAAAGAUGGCAUGCAAAUCGUGAAGCGUUACAUUUAUUU
ensembl:snRNA U6 U6 spliceosomal RNA